rnacentral:rRNA from 1 species
AUUACCCAAUCCUGACACAGGGAGGUAGGGGCAAGAAAUAACAAUACGGGGCUUAAUGUCUUGUAAUUGGAAUGAUGGGAAUUUAAACCUUUUCCAGAGUAUCAAUUGGAGGGCAAGUGUGGUGUCAGCAGCCGCGGUAAUUCCAGCUCCAAUAGCGUAUAUUAAAAUUGUUGCAGUUAAAAAGCUCGUAGUUGAAUUUCUGCUGCAUUACAUUUAUUCUUUUAUUUGAUUAUUUGUAUUGUGGCUUAUUUCAGUUAUAAAAUUUAUUUUUAUUUCUGAAUGUUUACUUUGAGAAAAUUAGAGUGCUCAAAGCAGGCUUUUGCCUUGAAUAGUUUAGCAUGGAAUAAUAAAGUAGGACUUUGGUUCUAUUUUGUUGGUUUUAGGUACCAAAGUAAUGGUUAAUAGGAACAGUUGGGGGCAUUCGUAUUUAA